rfam:Ictidomys tridecemlineatus contig085420, whole genome shotgun sequence.
GGGGAUAUAGCUCAGUUGGUAGAGUGCUUGCCUUGCAGGCACAAGGUCCUGGGUUCAAUCGCCAGCACCACCA